rnacentral:rRNA from 1 species
GGGCCCGCACAAGCGGAGGAACAUGUGGUUUAAUUCGAUGAUACGCGAGGAACCUUACCUGGGCUUAAAUGUAGAUUGCAUUCCCGAGAAAUCGGGAUUCCCUUCGGGGCUAUUUACAAGGUGCUGCAUGGUUGUCGUCAGCUCGUGCCGUGAGGUGUCGGGUUAAGUCCCAUAACGAGCGCAACCCUUAUCGUUAGUUGCCAGCGGGUAGAGCCGGGGACUCUAGCGAGACUGCCACCGUAAGGUGAGAGGAAGGUGGGGAUGACGUCAAAUCAGCACGGCCCUUAUGUCCAGGGCUACACACGUGUUACAAUGGCCGGUACAAAGGGCAGCUACUCCGCGAGGAGAUGCUAAUCUCUAAAGCCGGUCCCAGUUCGGAUUGGAGUCUGCAACCCGACUCCAUGAAGUUGGAUUCGCUAGUAAUCGCGCAUCAGCCAUGGCGCGGUGAAUACGUUCCCGGGCCUU